rnacentral:piRNA from 1 species
UGGCCACUUUUCUAUAGGGCUGCUGUG